rfam:Triticum aestivum genome assembly, contig: Triticum_aestivum_CS42_TGACv1_scaffold_194129_3AL
AUUAUACUCCCUUCGUUCGGAAUUACAUGUCUCGGAAAUGGAUGUAUCUAGAACUAAAAUACGGCUAGAUACAUCCAUUUCUUCGACAAGUAAUUCCGAACGGAGGGAGUACCUG